CCCCUGGUAUAGAGCAUGGGCACAUAGAAAAGCCAUCCCUAAAUCUAAUGCUAAAUCUAAUAACAAAGAAAUUGGUCUCCAAAUUGAAACUGAAACCAGGUAGAUCAGUUUAUUCUAUGCAAUCACUUCUGAAAUAAUUGUGUGAGAGACUUCAAAUUCUGUCUCAGAAACAUCAAUUGUGAAGCAAAAUAAUUUAGUUGAAGCCUGUUGUGUACCAUUUUGAGGUUUACAACCAUUACAUACUGCCAGAAGAAUAAUUUGGGGUUCCAACUCAAGCCGGGGUUGCAUAAGACUAAAUAAAAAUGAGAUCCAGAUAGCUGUGAGGAAAGUAGAAAUAUUUAUUCCUAAAAGCAAAAUAAUUUGUUUGUCUGGAAUGGAGAAGCUUGUCUGGAGUGAGAAAGUUCUUUGUGGUGAGAGGCAUGUGUAAAUGUGUGUGGGUGGAUAUGUAUUCUUGCAAAUGUAUAGUUCUAUGGGAAGACUUAAUUUUGUUAACUCUAUUUGUGUUUGCAGACCUUAUCUUUUGAUAUGUGGAUUAGGUCUCAGUGAACUUUUUCAGGGUUUGAGGAAGUUUGCUAAUUUGAUUAACUUGGAGACACUGAUUUUCAGACCUUUGUGGAUUCGGUUAAUAUAUUUAAGGGAAAGAUGGAAACAGUAUAAAGAAUAAAAUAUAUAUGGUUAUAAAAUGUCUCACAAAACCAAGAUAUCCGCUGUGCAAUGUAUUACUUUGAUAAAAUGUUAUCAAAUUAAUGAUAACAGCAUCCAUUGCUCUUAUCUUCACAAUUAUGCAAACUAAGCUAGCUGAGUGAGCUUGAUAGUAACUUUCUCUUUCUGCCUUUCUCUAAAUGAUUCCCCCUUUCACUUCCUUGUCCUCUGAGCUAGAAAAUUUUGUUUUCCCUUCAUAGACCCAGAACUGAUAAGAUGCAGGACCCAGGCAAGUGGGCCAGCAGACCCGGAAUUGAUAAGACACAGGAUCCAGGCAAGUGAGCCAGCAGUUGAUUCUGCAAGAAGUUUUGAUCCAGUUGAUAUUGCCAUGUUACUGCGAUCCAUAAAAGAUCAGUACAACGCAGAGACGGAGGACCAUGUACAGGCAGUUAUUUCAGAGGAAAGCGUAACAA